GCAAGUCGAGCGAGAAAGCACUUCGGUGCGAGUACAGCGGCGGACGGGUGAGUAACGCGUAGGAAUCUACCUGGUAGUGGGGGACAACUUGUGGAAACGCAAGCUAAUACCGCAUACGCCCUAAGGGGGAAAGCGGGGGAUCUUCGGACCUCGUGCUAUCAGAUGAGCCUGCGUAGGAUUAGCUAGUUGGUGAGGUAAUGGCUCACCAAGGCGACGAUCAGUAUCUGGUUUGAGAGGACGAUC
rnacentral:rRNA from 1 species